UACGUAGGAGACGAGCGUUGUCCGGAAUUACUGGGCGUAAAGGGCGCGUAGGCGGCCUGCUAAGUAGAGGGUGAAAUCCUGCGGCUCAACCGCAGGGCUGCCUUCUAAACUGUCAGGCUGGAGCACGGUAGAGGCAGAUGGAAUUCCCGGUGUAGCGGUGGAAUGCGUAGAGAUCGGGAAGAACACCAGUGGCGAAGGCGGUCUGCUGGGCCGUUGCUGACGCUGAGGCGCGACAGCGUGGGGAGCAAACAGG
rnacentral:rRNA from 1 species